AGCUCCAACAGUGUAUGCUAAAGUUGUUGCGGUUGAAAAGCUCGUAGUUGGAUAUUGGGCGAGCGCGGUCGGUCCGUCGCAGGGCGUGCACUGGUCGCGUUCGCCUCGACUUCGGUUCUCCGUCGGUGCUCUUGACUGAGUGUCGGCGGUGGCCGAGAAGUUUACUUUGAAAAAAUUAGAGUGUUCAAAGCAGGCUGGUCGCCUGUAUAGUGUUGCAUGGAAUAAUGGAAUAGGACCUCGGUUCUAUUUUGUUGGUUUUCGGAACGGAGGUAAUGAUUAAGAGGGACAGACGGGGGUGUCCGUACUCUGCCGUUAGAGGUGAAAUUCUUGGAUCGGCGGAAGACGAACUACUGCGAAAGCAUUCACCAAGAAUGUUUUCUUUAAUCAAGAGCGAAAGUCAGAGGUUCGAAGACGAUCAGAUACCGUCCUAGUUCUGACUAUAAACGAUGCCAACUAGCGAUCGGGAGGCGUUACCAUGACGACCUUCCCGGCAGCUUCCGGGAAACCAAAGUCUUUGGGUUCCGGGGGAAGUAUGGUUGCAAAGCUGAAACUUAAAGGAAUUGACGGAAGGGCACCACCAGGAGUGGAGCCUGCGGCUUAAUUUGACUCAACACGGGGAAACUCACCCGGCCCGGACACAGGAAGGAUUGACAGAUUGAGAGCUCUUUCAUGAUUCUGUG
rnacentral:rRNA from 1 species